AGUCGCGUAGUCUAAUGGUUAUGACAUCUCAUUCGCAUUGACAAGUUCAAAGUCCCUGAGAAGGUUCCGUGUUCAAUCCACGGCACGACUA